rnacentral:lncRNA from 1 species
UGUGUGUGUUUGUGUGCGCGCAAUAUAUACUGAACUUAUUUCCCACCAUAAAAAUUAUUGUGAAAGUCUGGGAUCAUUUCUCCUUGCUGUAUCAUAGAGCAGAUUUAACAGCUCCUUCUCCAGAGAUUUAGCACUGUAAGGAACACUUUCAUAGACAUGAAAGAAAACGCUUUUGAUCAGGAGUGAAUGGGAAAGGGGAGGAGGAUGCAAUCCUGAGCUUUUCACUUUAGUCUCAAUGAAUUCUGAAAGCUUGUCCUGGUUCUCUUUCCCAUUUGAAAACCUUAUUUAGGUGGAAGGCGGACAUUCUGUAUGCUGAUAAAUGGACCUGUGGAAUUCACUUACAGAACUACUGCAGGGAAUCCUGUGCAUUUUGUGAUGGUGCGUGAUGUAGGCUGAGGAUGCAGCAAAGCACUUAGAUGCAAAUAAAAGUCAGCUAGAGGAUAAAAGCCAUAAUGUGAGAGAUGCCACUUAGCAUGAUUGAGGAGUGAAGUGAAUUCAUUGUCUUCUUAAUCCUUGUUAGCUCAGGGGGUUUAGAAAUAUAAGGUGUAUCUUGCUAAAUCAGACUAAGGUCCGUCUCACCCAAUAUUCUAACAAAGGAUGGCCAGGUGCCUCUGGGGAGUUUAUAGCAUGUCCCCAGCUUUGGCUGUUUGCAAGUACUAGUCUUGGUCGGCAACAAAAUGUUACAGUAUAGAAUGCUUCUGUUCAAGUUUCCAGCUCCUGCAUUCCACUCUCGCCCAUUUCCCCUCUCUCACCUCCCUCUUAGUCAAUAUUAAAUUCCUACUGAGCAUGCUCAGACCUCAUUGGGAAUUCAGUUUCCCCCUCCCCAUUUUUGCUUUUUUUUUAAAAAAAGAAUAUAAGAGCCCUCUUGGAUGAGACCAAAGACCAAUUAGUCCAGUGUCCUUUUCCUAUAGUGGCCAACAAGGUACCAAAGUUCUUAUUGGGUUGUUUUGCAGCUAUCUCCUUCUUUGGGAUUUUUCUCAUGACCUUUUUGUGUGUGUGCUUCUCUAAACCUUGGGAUUACUGGAAAUCAGACAUUCAGAUGAAGCCUGACCAUCUCAUAUGGAAUCCAUUGCAAAAUGUAGAAGCGGGGAAUUUAAGAAGCAUCACUAAACCAUUAAGCCAACUAUUAACCCAUUUGUGGUUUCUUAAUUGGCUGUGCUUUGAAUACAGUCAGAGUGUAGGGAGCAGAAUCCUUUGAGGAGGUCUUAAGAGGGCCAUUCUAUUUUUUUUUUUAAAUAAAUAAAUAAAUAUAAUAGAUUGCAAAUUGUUUAAAGGCCACUUAAAUAAGCAACGUGGCUAGAUUUUGAAUAAGUUUGCUAUUAAUCAUAAAAAGUGAUGCUUUAAAAAGAGACAGUAUACAGGCUACAGUCCCCCAUACAAGCUUUUAAAGCUAAUAGGAAUUAAAUAGUUUAACUGUGUGCUUCUGUAUAGUAAUCAAAAAAGCUUUGCAAAGUGGGUCUGUUUUGAUGGCCAGCUUGUGUUAAUGGCACCUAACACAGUGCCCUGCAGUUCAAGAUUAAUGCAAAUUGACAAAGACACCGGAGAUGGGGCUCAUAAUGGAAACCCCCCUUCUCGAAAGAAAAGUUGCAACCCGUUCCAUGUUUCUCUAGACCGGGGAUAGGAAAAUAUUUUUCAGCUCGAGGGCCACAUUCGAUUUUGGGCAACUUCCUAGGGGCCAGAAGCAAAAGUGGGCAGAGAAACAAAUGCCAGUAGGCUAAUUUCUACAGAUUCGUAUGUACUUCUCUGUCCUCUAUCCAGGCAAGCAAACACACGUUUGGUCUGAACAUGGAUUGUUCCUUCUGCCUUGGAGUUGAGCGGGUUGCAGGGAACAAUCUAUGCAUAUUACAGAGCUGUGUGUGUAAGUAAUGAUGAACUGAAAUAGUUACAUUAUCAUUAACCCAAAAGUUCAGCAUUUAAAAUGUUCAGAGCCAGUUCUGCAAAUUCCUGCUAUUGAAUUCUUGUUUUUAUCUAGUUUCAGAAUACCGUGUCACUGGAUUUUAUGUUGUGUAUCUCUUUUUUUAUGAAGCUGUGUUUUUGGUGUUGUAUUUUAAAUAGUAAGUGGUUUAAAAAUGCUGUUAAAUAAUACAAAAAUCAUUUACUGGGGCCCAGUUUGCUGAACUCCUUCCAGUUACAGAAAUUCUUUGCAAUUACGCUACCCUGAUAUUAAUAUAGCAGUGUGCUAUUCAACCUGGUAUAUAUCCUUUCCUAGUGAUGAAAUGAGUCAGAUAUUCUUUCCCUUUUCAGCCAGUUAAUUGGUUUAGGAAGGCAUGGACUUUGAGGAGGCAAAUCAUUUUGAAGUGGGUUGAUUAGGUAGAAAAUCAUCUCAGCAUAUUGCAUCUUUUUUGGUGUUGAAUGAAUGUAAAAUGAGACAACAGUAGCCAGCUUUUGCUCAUGUAAAGAUAUUGCAUGGGAAUUACAGGCUGUCGCAGUCUGAAUGGCACAGCACAGUCUUGGCUUAACAAUGCAGCUUUUACAAAAAGAAUCCAGUACCAAGAAAAGGAAAGGAGACAUCUUAAGAUAUCUUGUGCAUGUGGGUAUCUUGUCGGCAUGCCAUUUGUGGUAGUCUGUCAUACCACUUUAGAAACUUUACUUGGAUCAUCAGAGGUGCUGAUGGAAGCCUAAAAAGAUUGUGUAAGUGAUAAGUUUUGUGGUACAUUUUAUAAUUUAUAUGUU